rnacentral:rRNA from 1 species
CCUACGUGCGGCAGCAGUGAGGAAUCUUGGUCAAUGGACGAGAGUCUGAACCAGCCAAGUAGCGUGAAGGAUGACUGCCCUAUGGGUUGUAAACUUCUUUUAUAUGGGAAUAAAACGUUCCACGUGUGGGAUUUUGUAUGUACCAUAUGAAUAAGGAUCGGCUAACUCCGUGCCAGCAGCCGCGGUAAUACGGAGGAUCCGAGCGUUGUCCGGAUGUAUUGGGUUUAAAGGGCGCGUAGGUGGAUUGUUAAGUCAGUUGUGAAAGUUUGCGGCUCAACCGUAAAAUUGCAGGUGAAACUGGCAGUCUUGAGUACAGUAGGGGUGGGUGGAAUUCGUGGUGUAGCGGUGAAAUGCUUAGAUAUCACGAAGAACUCCGAUGGCGAAGGCAGUUCACUGGACUGCAACUGACACUGAGGCUCGAAAGUGUGGGUAUCAAACAGGAUUAGAUACCCUGGUAGUC